rnacentral:sRNA from 1 species
CGGGGGCGGGGCCUGGCUUCCCGCGCCGCUCUCCUCCGGGGCGGGAAGGCGGGUUUCCUCGGCGCAGUCCUGGAGCCCCGGUACCCAGCCCGGGAGUCGGUGGUGGUUGCCCUUUGCAGUGGGAGCAGGGUGUCCCUGGCAGUGGGGUCGGGAUACUCUAAGCUUUGGUGGAUCCGUAGUCCUUUGCCGGGUGUCUUCUUAGUGCCUAGGCCUUGGCUCCUUUAAAUGCAAGGUGGCUUUGCAUAAGUGCCGGAAAACUGGGCUGAGAGACCAGCUAAGCCCCUCCCAGUGUGUGAAGCACUCUGAAACACACCCAACUCCAGGCGAUAAUAAUCGCCAGAAAAAGGUUUUAUUAUCAGCAACUUUUCUCAGUGGCAGAAAUGGAGAAGCCCACUUCUACUUCCACCCUAAACCUUCCGGCUACUAGGGAGCUGCCUCACCGAGAGCCCGCUUGUGAGUCCCUAACUUCUUAACAGGCUCCUCUGGUGCCCAGUUUCUCACUUCCUCAAGUGAAGUAGCCAGACCAGACAUAUCAAAGAGCUACUUGAUGACACACUUCUUCCCUACCACCUGCUGAGGAAGGAGCCUGGCCGCGGGUUCCUAUGAGACCCUAGAAGAAACGACCCUGAUUCUGCCACGUGGGCUUCAUUCUCGAACACUCCCCAGCCCCCACCUCCCCCUGGCGCCUGUGGCGCGGCCAGAAAUUCUGAUUGUCCACCGCCUAUCUGCCUAUGGCGCUAAUAAAGUUCUUACUCCCAGCA